CCUACGGGUGGCUGCAGUGAGGAAUUUUGCGCAAUGGCCGCAAGGCUGACGCAGCAACGCCGCGUGGGUGAUGAAGGCCUUCGGGUCGUAAAGCCCUGUCAGGUGGGAAGAAAGGCUUGGAGAAGCAACGCUUUGAGUUUGACGGUACCACCAGAGGAAGCACCGGCUAACUCCGUGCCAGCAGCCGCGGUAAUACGGAGGGUGCGAGCGUUAUUCGGAAGUACUGGGCGUAAAGCGCGAGUAGGCGGUGAAAGCCCUGGGCUUAACCUGGGAAGUGCAUUGGAAACUGCAGUUCUUGAGUACUGGAGAGGAAGGGGGAAUUCCCGGUGUAGAGGUGAAAUUCGUAGAGAUCGGGAGGAAUACCAGUGGCGUAGGCGCCCUUCUGGACGGUUACUGACGCUGAGACGCGAAAGCGUGGGGAGCAAACAGGAUUAGAUACCCGAGUAGUC
rnacentral:rRNA from 1 species